GGCAGAGGAUCGAAUCGCGAGGGGUUUCAUUGUACUAGUAGGUAGGCAAGACGUACGGCAGUCAACUCAACCGGGAUGUCAGAUACCCCGCACCCAAAUCCUAUCUGUAUACCGGAGGCGGGUAAGAGGAAGGAAUCGUUCGUUUGAAACCAUUGCUCAGGAAGCUAAACGCUUCCGAACUCGUGUUGAAUCUAAAGGGAAGUCAAGGACAUUUCACUACAUGGCUUUUUUUGUCGGUGUCAUAACUUAAGGCCAGAUUUUUAUUUUUUGGGCAGUUAAAGCUGAAGGCGAACGUUAUUUUGAAAACAGGACGAGAUGUGAUGCAUCUAUCUGCAGUGCUCGGGAUGCCGAUUAACCCAACACACACUUUACAUGUAGUAAUUUUAUUAUCAAACAGCGUCGAGGCGACGUAAAACAAUCGGUCUCGAUUGAUUGGAGGGUACAUUGUUACAGCAGCUGGCAUUGAGUGCCACUAUUUUGCUCCAUGCCUUUUGGAAAGUGAAGAAUCCUCACGCACUCGUGACCCUAACCACACAGAUCAACGGCCAAUAAACUUUGAUUUUGGCCACAGACUCCAUCCAUGAGGUCGCCUGCAGACAUUUGACGAGCUCUCCAUAGAAGACCCCCCCCCUCCCAUCCCCUCCCACCCCCUUCCUGGAUCCUUUUGAUCUGCCCCCCCCUCCACCCCCCCUCCCCCUCUUCCAGACUCACCAUGCUGAUUAAGGAGUACCGCAUUCCUAUGCCCCUGAGCGUGGAAGAGUACCGCAUCGCCCAGCUCUACAUGAUCCAG